GAUGAACGCUAGCUACAGGCUUAACACAUGCAAGUCGAGGGGAAACGGCAUUAAGUGCUUGCACUUUUUGGUCGUCGACCGGCGCACGGGUGAGUAACGCGUAUCCAACCUUCCCAUUACUAAGGGAUAACCUGCCGAAAGGCAGACUAAUACCUUAUGGUCUUCACUGUCGGCAUCUGAUGUUAAGUACUGUUUUAUCUGUUAUGGAUGGUGAUGCGUCUUAUUAUCUUGUUGGCGGGGUAACGGCACACCAAGGCAACGAUAAGUAGGGGUUCUGAGAGGAAGGUACACCACAUUGGAACUGAGAAACGGACCAAACACCUACGGGAGGGAGCAGUGAGGAAUAUAGGUAAAUGGGCGAGAGCCUAAACAAGCCAAGUAGGGUGCAGGAAGACGGCGCUAUGGGUUGUAAACUGCUUUUGUAUGGGGAUAAAGUCAAACAAGUGUGAUUGUUUGAAGGUACCAUAAGAAUAAGGACCGGCUAAUUCCGUG
rnacentral:rRNA from 1 species